rnacentral:rRNA from 1 species
AACCUUUAGCAAAAACAAGUAUUAAAGGCAACUCCUGCCCAGUGAAAAUCACUUUAACGGCCGCGGUACCCUAACCGUGCAAAGGUAGCAUAAUCACUUGUCUACUAAUUAUAGACUAGUAUGAAAGGAUGAAUGAGGGCCGGACUGUCUCUUGUAGUCAAUCAAUAAAACUGAUCCCUCAGUAAAAAAGCUGAGAUACCUCUAUAAGACGAGAAGACCCCGCGAAGCUUCAGGGGGGGGGCCACAACCCCUUGGCUCCGCACCUUCGGUUGGGGCAACCUCGGAAACAAAUCAAACUCCCGAAACCAGGCCAUAAGCCACAAAGGCCAACACGCCAUCAUACGACCCAGCACCAAGCUGACCACUGAAACAAGUUACUCCGGGGGUAACAGCGCUAUCCUCUUUUAGAGCCCAUAUCAAAAAGAGGGCUUACGACCUCGAUGUUGGAUCAGGACACCCAAAUGGCGCAGCCGCUAUCAAAGGUUCGUUCGUUCAACGAUUAACAGUCCUACGUGAUCUGAGUUCAGACCGG